AGAGUUUGAUCAUGGCUCAGGAUGAACGCUAGCGACAGGCUUAACACAUGCAAGUCGAGGGGCAGCAUGGUAGGUAGCAAUACUUAUUGAUGGCGACCGGCGCACGGGUGAGUAACGCGUAUGCAACUUACCUAUCAGAGGGGGAUAGCCCGGCGAAAGUCGGAUUAAUACUCCAUAAAACAGGGGUCCCGCAUGGGAAUAUUUGUUAAAGAUUUAUCGCUGAUAGAUAGGCAUGCGUUCCAUUAGGCAGUUGGCGGGGUAACGGCCCACCAAACCGACGAUGGAUAGGGGGUUCUGAGAGGAAGGUCCCCCACGAUUGGUACUGAGACACGGACCAAACUCCUACGGGAGGCA
rnacentral:rRNA from 1 species